AUGGGGAUUUAUACCUCACACUCCUCAAAGGAAAUUGGCUCACAAAGACCCCCAGGCAUUGUCUGGUCAUAUGUGGGAGGCAGCAGCAGCAACAACAACAGCAACAGCAACAACAGCUACAGGAGGAAGAAGAGGAGCAGUGAGGGUGGCAGAAGCUUUUAAAAUUAAUCUGUUUUUUUGUCUAUUAAAAAAAAUGUUCUACCAAUUUAGAGAGGAACAAGGGUUCUAAACUCCAGACUUCUGUUCACCUACAAUGUAAAAUUUAAAUAUCCAGUAACUCCAAGAAUUAUAUUUUAUAAGAUUUAUUAGUAAUAACUUGAAGUAGAAGAAAUACAAGAACAAAAGUAAAAACCUGAGUAAAGCCAUGUGAAUAAAGUUCUUCUGCUUGGCACUCACCCAACUGCCACAACCACCUUCCAGGGAACAGAGAGCAAGGGUGGAGAUCGAACUGUUUGCCAGCACUAGAAGGGGGAAGGAAAGGGAGGGAUCAAGACAAUUUGGAUCACAUAUCUUCAGAAAACUUAUGUGGAAAUUUAUUAUUACAUGGGCAAUAGGCGGAGUCAUUCGAGACAGAAGGCGAGCACUGAUAAUAGAAGGAAAGGUUUAUCAAUUAACUUCGGAGCAGCUUUGCUCUGACAACUACAGGACCCCUCCCCGCCAUUUCACUAGCAUCAUGCUUCGGAAGCUGCGCGAGAACACUUUGGGUUGUGGGACGCCUGCAACAAUGAAUUAUCACAGUUCAAAGAAAAACGAUUUGCUCAUUUGGUAAUAAGUGAUGAGGACAUGAAUUACUGAGAUACUCCCAGACUUGGUGUUCAUCUCAGUAUCAAUAAAUCUCUAACCUACUGCCCUGAAACUAAGUCC
rnacentral:lncRNA from 1 species